rnacentral:lncRNA from 1 species
AGCAGAAGGCAGCACACUUCGUGAUUUCAAGCUUUACUAUAAGGUUAUAGUUAACAAAACAUUUUUAUUACCAAAAUGAUGCUGGCUUCAUAGAAUAAGAAUGAUUUGAGUAAACUGGGUAGAGUUGGUCAAAUGUGAUGGGAGAAAGACCACGACAACAAACAAACCCAACAAUAUGAUUACUGAGCACUCUAAUGGUAAGGAGAAAUUAAGGCCAGCUGGUUGUUAAUCUUUUCCUAGAAGCAGGAAGAAACAACCCACCUUCUUUGUUGAAAGCGAGCUGAAAUU